rnacentral:tRNA from 1 species
GCUAUUGUAAUAAAAGACUAUUGCAUCAGACUGCGAAUCUGAGGGUCGGGCGUUCGAAUCGCUCCGGGUGCG